GAUGAAGAACGUAGCGAAAUGCGAUAAGUAAUGUGAAUUGCAGAAUUCAGUGAACCAUCGAAUCUUUGAACGCACAUUGCGCCCGGCAGUAAUCUGCCGGGCAUGCCUGUCCGAGCGUCAUUUCUCCCCUCGAGCGCAGCUUUCCCCCCGGGGGAGGGCCGCGCCCGGUGUUGGGGCGCUACGGAGGAGCCCAGCGCUCCCCCGUAGGCCCCGAAAUGUAGUGGCGGUCCCGCCGCGGCGCCCCCUGCGUAGUAGUUUUACAACUCGCAUCGGGUCCCGGCGGAGGCCAGCCGUCAAACCCCCCAACUUCAAUAGUUUGACCUCGGAUCAGGUAGGGUUACCCGCUGAACUUAAGCAUAUCAAUAAGCGGAGGA
rnacentral:misc_RNA from 1 species